rnacentral:lncRNA from 1 species
CAGAAAACAACAAUUUGUUGUCAAGGACCAACCGAUCUCAUUAUGUAUACAUUUAAAGUCAUCUCAAGUCAAAAUCUGAUAUAUAUUUAUCAAGUUUAAACAUUUAUUACUGUAACGCAGCUUGGCACAUUGUAAUAUUAAAUAUCUGAUGCAUUUGACAUUCCCAGAUCGCUCAGAUAGGUUUACUCGAGAGGAGCUAAGGUGAGUUUUGUCUGUUUUACAAAGAACCGUUUUAUAGAGUAAGAAUACCCCCUUUGUUUACAUUUUGCAGACUGGCAAAUUCCGAUACACAAACGAUUAUGUUCUCCAUUGCGAUUUGGCAAUACACUUCAAAAUAGCGAAGCUCUCUUGGGACUUAAUGUUAAAGGCCGAUUCACCUACGACAGUUAUAACUAUUUACACAGUACAACUCAAGUUAUAAGCAGGUUGCAUGCGACAGUUUUAGGGAAAAGUUGUGUAGUGUAAAUUGGCCUUAAAUCGCCCUUGAGCUGUUAAAACCUUUUGCCUGCUGGCAAACGUAAACAAGACAAGGGGAUAUUAAAUAGGGGGGACUUCAAUGAUGAAUUCUUGCACUCUACUUGGUGGAAUUAAUAUUAGAAUGUUAGGGUUUGUAAUCCAAGUGAGAAUAUAUACAUUUUAACACCUAACCAGGAACGAAAAAUGCAGCAGUCGUUCCUGGUUAGGUCUUAAAAUGUAUAUAUUCUCACUUGGAUUACAAACCCUUACAUUCUAAUAUUAAUUCCACCAAGUGAAGUGCAAGAAUCCAUCAUUGAAGUCCACCUUAUCACAACCCGCACACCUGAUUACCUAUAUAUACAUGAACUUACGGUUACAGCUCAACAGCUGGCCUCUGUAGCUCAGUUGGUUAGAGCGCUGCACCGGAAUCGCAGGGCCGUAGGUUCAAUUCCUACCAGAGGACCUUGUGCUGCAUUUCGCAGUUGUUCCUGGUUAGGUCUUAAAAUGUAUAUAUUCUCACUUGGAUUACAAACCCUAACAUUCUAAUAUUAAAUAGGUGGCUUCCAAGCAACCCUGAGACUUUAACACAACACUGAUGCAGUGGGCAAGUAAAUAGAGAUUCUAUAAAUGAGAUUCUUUUGUGUAAAUGCCUCCAUAUGCUCUGAACUGUGUCAUGGUGAAAGCAUAGGCAUACGGGAGGGAAAAAAUCAAGUGGGCAGAAAAUUUAUGCCUGACUUACUGAACAACAUUUUCUGUGUUAACUUUCCAAAGGGGGGGUCGACGAAACAUUUUUCCUAUUUGUCGAAAUUCCACGUUACUUUUACAUAUUUCUGGUAUUUUCAAAUACUAUACAUGUAUUGCAUAUGUCUUCUUUUUAAAGUUCUUUCCCCCAAUUUUUGCCCGAAUUACAUUUAUAAUGUGCCCAUGAAACUUCAUUUUGACUCGGGGGCAACUGCCCCCCCCCUGCCCCAUACGCCUGUGGGUGAAAGCCACAUAUAUUGAAAUAUCUCAAUGCUCACAUGAUAAGACUGGAUACCUCGUAAAAUACAGUAUAUUGUUCCAGUCCUAGGACUGGGUCAAAAUUAAUUACCUCACUUACAAAUAAGCCAUGUGGCUUUAAUAUUGGCAUGAGAUGUCAAAUCUGACAAGUUGGACUUUACCAGAUAUCCAGUCCUUGCAAUUCUAAAGUACAGUCCUCAGCUUCGCCUCGGACUGAACUAAUUGCGCGGCCUGGAUAUCUGAUAUUAACUUAGUCCUCUUAGUUGCGAAUUUGAUAUAUUACUUCAAACUAAGAUGUAUAAUUUAUAUAUUAAUUAAAAAGUGCAGGGGAAUGCCAUAUACAGUACAUACUAUACAAUAGUAACUCUGAAAACUGUAAACAUUGCGAAAAGUCUCGACGUUUUGACUAGAUUGGGUCAUUCCAGAAACAUCCAUACCACCCCCACAGAGGAAAUAGGAAGUUAACCCCCAUACCCCCUUCGGAUGUCCUAAUACAUUUUACUAUUAUCAGAAACAAUUUUUUCUCCUCUCCCCCUCCGGACGGCAGAAAUUUCCUCCGUGGGGGCCCGAGUAUGUUUUCUGGAACGACCCAUUUUAGUCAUCAGAAAAUAAUGAUGAUGAUUUUAGUGAUCAACUGAUCAUCUGAUGAUGACUAAAACCUAGUCAAAAUGUUGAAUAUUAAACACUUUUCAAUAUGUUUUAAAAUACUCAGUGGUUUCAGCAAUUUGAUGACAUGCAUAAUAUGUAUUUCUUUUAGAUGUCUGGAAGCUGCUUUGGGG